GACGGAGGGGGCGAGCGUUGUCCGGAUUUAUUGGGCGUAAAGAGCUCGUAGGCGGCUUGUUGCGUCGGCUGUGAAAGCCCGGGGCUUAACUCCGGGUCUGCAUUCGAUACGGGCAGGCUAGAGUUCGGUAGGGGAGAUCGGAAUUCCUGGUGUAGCGGUGAAAUGCGCAGAUAUCAGGAGGAACACCGGUGGCGAAGGCGGAUCUCUGGGCCGAUACUGACGCUGAGGAGCGAAAGCGUGGGGAGCGAGCAGG
rnacentral:rRNA from 1 species